UACGUAGGGGGCAAGCGUUGUCCGGAAUUAUUGGGCGUAAAGAGCGCGUAGGCGGUCCGGUAAGUCGGUUGUGAAAGUCGGGGGCUCAACCCUCGGAUGCCGAUCGAUACUGUCGGGCUAGAGUCCGGAAGAGGCGAGUGGAAUUCCUGGUGUAGCGGUGAAAUGCGCAGAUAUCAGGAAGAACACCCGUGGCUAAGGCGGCUCUCUAGUACGGUACUGACGCUGAGGCGCGAAAGCUAGGGGAGCAAACGGG
rnacentral:rRNA from 1 species